rnacentral:sRNA from 1 species
UUAUUCAGGUUUAGAAUAACUGCAGAAU